rnacentral:rRNA from 1 species
ACGCUGGCGGCGUGCCUAAUACAUGCAAGUUGAGCGCUGAAGGUUGGUACUUGUACCGACUGGAUGAGCAGCGAACGGGUGAGUAACGCGUGGGGAAUCUGCCUUUGAGCGGGGGACAACAUUUGGAAACGAAUGCUAAUACCGCAUAAAAACUUUAAACACAAGUUUUAAGUUUGAAAGAUGCAAUUGCAUCAUUCAAAGAUGAUCCCGCGUUGUAUUAGCUAGUUGGUGAGGUAAAGGCUCACCAAGGCGAUGAUACAUAGCCGACCUGAGAGGGUGAUCGGCCACAUUGGGACUGAGACACGGCCCAAACUCCUACGGGAGGCAGCAGUAGGGAAUCUUCGGCAAUGGACGAAAGUCUGACCGAGCAACGCCGCGUGAGUGAAGAAGGUUUUCGGAUCGUAAAACUCUGUUGGUAGAGAAGAACGUUGGUGAGAGUGGAAAGCUCAUCAAGUGACGGUAACUACCCAGAAAGGGACGGCUAACUACGUG